rnacentral:ncRNA from 1 species
UUUCUUUCAGAACAGCUGGAAUACAUAAUGAAGCUCUUUAUUUGGUAAAGCGAAUGAUUAGAGGAAUUGUGGGACGAAAUGUUUUCAAUCUGUUUAAAAACUUCCAAUGAGUGUGACGUCUCGUUGCUUGAAUGAAACGUAGACAUUGAAUGUGUGCUCCAAAUGAGUUGUUUUUAGUAAGUAAAACUGGUGUAUUGUGGGAUGCUCCA